rnacentral:sRNA from 1 species
UUGAAAGCCUGGGAUGCUGAAGUCAUUAAAUGUCCUGCAGAACAGGUACAGCAUGAUGAGGCGCUGUGUGUGCCUCCCCAAAAAUGCCCUUUCACAAGAUAAAUUGGAAAGUUAUCUCAGUAGGGACUGAAGGGUAGUUCAGAUUUCAUGGUCUGUUUUGAAACAAUUGGCUAAC